rnacentral:rRNA from 1 species
AGGACGAACGCUGGCGGCGUGCUUAACACAUGCAAGUGGAGCGACGAACCAGGGCUCGCCCUGGGGCAGAGCCGCGAACGGGUGAGUAACACGUGGGUAACGUGCCCCGAUGACUGGGACAACCCGGGGAAACCCGGGCUAAUACCAGAUGUGCCCCCUCACAUCAGUGAGGUGUGUAAAGGAGCUUCGGCCUCCGCAUCGGGAUCGGCCCGCGGCCCAUUAGCUUGUUGGUGAGGUUAACGGCUCACCAAGGCUGCGAUGGGUAGCUGGUCUGAGAGGACGAUCAGCCACACUGGGACUGAGACACGGCCCAGACUCCGUACGGGAGCAGCAGUGGGAAU